AUUGAACGCUGGCGGCAUGCCUUACACAUGCAAGUCGAACGGUAACGCGGGGGCAACCCUGGCGACGAGUGGCGAACGGGUGAGUAGCGCAUCGGAACGUGCCCAGUAGUGGGGGAUAGCCCGGCGAAAGCCGGAUUAAUACCGCAUACGACCUACGGGUGAAAGCGGGGGACCGCAAGGCCUCGCGCUAUUGGAGCGGCCGAUGCCCGAUUAGCUAGUUGGUGAGGUAAAGGCUCACCAAGGCGACGAUCGGUAGCUGGUCUGAGAGGACGACCAGCAACACUGGGACUGAGACACGGCCCAGACUCCUACGGGAGGCAGCAGUGGGGAAUUUUGGACAAUGGGGGCAACCCUGAUCCAGCCAUGCCGCGUGUGUGAAGAAGGCCUUCGGGUUGUAAAGCACUUUAAGCGGGGAGGAAGGCUCGAUGGCUAAUAUCCAUCGGGAUUGACGUUACCCGCAGAAUAAGCACCGGCAAACUUCGUGCCAGCCGCCGCGGUAAAAC
rnacentral:rRNA from 1 species